rnacentral:tRNA from 1 species
GCACGCAUAGCUUAAUGGAAGAGCGACGGUCUUCUGAACCGUAGGUUGCAGGUUCAAAUCCUGCAACGUGCU